rnacentral:lncRNA from 1 species
UGGGAAAGCUGGAUUAAGAUUUAUGAGCCUCUCAAAGCUCUGUUCCAUGGUUCUACCUCUCACCUGCUAAGACCUGACGCAUUGUUUUGAAAGGACUCGAUUUUGCAGCAUGGAAUCAACUGUGCUGUGCGGUGGCACAAAUGUUAUUUGCCUCUUCUUCAGCCAGCAGGAAAUCCCUGGAGAGGGUGCUUGUUCUCCAUGUCUCAUCGACUCUGGUAAACUUUCUCACUUCACAAAGAGAACAUAAGGCACAGUUGGCAGGCAUCCUAUGCAAUGACGAAUAUGCUUACAUCUUCAUGAGGACAUGACAGCCAGCAAGAGUGUUAGAUAGCC